AAACUUACCUGGCAGAGGAGAUACCAUGAUCACAAAGGUGGUUUUCUCAGGGCAAGGCUUAUCCAUUGCACUCCAGAUGUGAUGACCCCUGCGAUUUCCCCAAAUGCGGGAAACUUGACUGCAUAAUUUGUGGUAGUGGGGGACUGCGCUCACGCUCUCCCCUA